GGGAGACCAGGAAAGUUCAAGUGGUGGUCAGGAGGUGCUGGAGGAACAAGAGGCAAGAAAAGCUGAGGCAUAUUUGGUUUCCAAAUUGUCAACAAAUGGAGCAGCUGCAGGAAAUUGAAAGAGCUGAAGCUGGAGUGAAAGGGUUGCACUGCUCCUUCAUUUCCAGAACCAAGGAAGGCUGCUGCAUGGAAUGUGGACCUCCCACAUACGGACCUGAUUUGAUGUCAAAGCUGGUAUAAGAAGCCAAGGGACACUUUCACCAGAAGGAGCAAGGAUUCUACGAAACGGAAGAUUUGUGAUGGUGCUGUUAAAGAGGAUAAAAGAAUACGUGUACCUACUCUAUAAGAAAUGUUAAGGAACUCCUUCCAGUAGAAGGACUAUAACACAGAUGGGAGUAAGGACUGACACAAAGAAAUAUAGAGCACCAGAAAUGAAACACAUUCCUAAAUCAUCCAACAUGUACUGACCAUCUACUGCACUUAUCCAGAUAGAGUUGAAGAGACAGUGAUACACAUGACUGUAUUAUGCAACAUAUCCUGUUAUAUAAAUGAUCUGUGCAUGAUGCAUCCUUCUAUUUUACACUCCCAGUGGAAGGUUGUGAUGUGCACCCAAAGCAUUUCUCUUGACUGACCAAGUUGAGCAUCAUUAUAGCGAGACACCACACUCUUCUUCUCCAGAGGAGCAGCAACGAGGUGCCAUCUUGGAAGUGGAGGUCCUGAUCAGACACCAAGCCUGUCCAUGACUUCAUCUUGGACCCCCAGUCUCCAGAGAGAGUUGUGAGAAGUCUAACACCAGGCUGGCUGUGAUCCUGCACCAACACUUGUCUCCUGAUUCAAGUAAUCAACAACCUGGGGUUCAUCAGUAGCUGGAAGGAGGACUUCGCUCCUCUGUACUUGUCAUCAAAGCCAGAGGAGCUCACUUUCCUCGGGGCAACAUCUGGCUGGAAUUUAUAUGGUCUCUUUUUUAAAGCUUAUCACAUGGAAUUGAUUUACUCAAGGAAACCAGCAUUUGGAAAAAAAAAAAAAAAAAACACAAGUAGAGUGGGAAUCUUUUGGAAAUCUGACCAAAUAUGCCAGAAAAAAGACAAGGCUCCAGGGAUGAAUUGUCCAAAUAAGUGGAUGACCAGAGGCAACCUACACUACCUGCUCAUUAUGCAGACAGGCCCUGGGAUAAAAGAAGUCCAACAAUGACAAAUGACAAAACAAAGUAACAUUUAAAAUGGAGCUUCAUGGCUUUAAAAUACUUUCAGUUGGUUUUUGUUGUUGGUGUUCGUCUUUGAAGAAGACUGGAUGAGUCAGUGAAGCAAUAACGAAAAACAAGAGGUUGGAAGUUUCCUCUUCUCUGUCUCAGACAAAUGAGUCAGAGCAAGCUCUCCACAUGAUGUUUGGGAAGAAAUCCAUGUCUUACGAUGUAUGUUAAAAGUGUAAACAUAAAAAUAAAG